rnacentral:rRNA from 1 species
UACAGGGGGUGCGAGCGUUAAUCGGAGUUACUGGGCGUAAAGCGCACGUAGGCGGCGACGUCAGUCGGGUGUGAAAGCCCCGGGCUCAACCUGGGAAUUGCAUUCGAGACUGCAUUGCUGGAGUACGGAAGAGGAGGGCGGAAUUCCCGGUGUAGCGGUGAAAUGCGUAGAUAUCGGGAGGAACAUCAGUGGCGAAGGCGGCCCUCUGGUCCAGUACUGACACUCAAGUGCGAAAGCGUGGGGAGCAAACAGG